CAUCAAACCAGCUGUGAAAGGUAAGUGCAAGAGGGACAGCAAAACCGAGAGCUGGAUAAAAGCCAAAAGAGGCCGGCCUGCCGUGCAGCUGAAACUUUUACAAGCCAAGCAGGAAGAGACACGGGGACCAAUCGAAAAA